rnacentral:rRNA from 1 species
GUAUAUUACCAUACUGCCCCAAAUGCAUCUGAUCUUAUCUGGUCUUGGAAGCACAGCAGGGUCAGGCCUGGUCGGCACUUAGAUAGGAGAACUAGACAGGCAGGAUGAUACU